UACGUAGGGUGCGAGCGUUAAUCGGAAUUACUGGGCGUAAAGCGUGCGCAGGCGGUUUUGUAAGCCAGAUGUGAAAUCCCCGGGCUCAACCUGGGAAUGGCAUUUGGGACUGCAAGGCUCGAGUUUGGCAGAGGGGACUGGAAUUCCUGGUGUAGCAGUGAAAUGCGUAGAUAUCAGGAGGAAUACCGAUGGCGAAGGCAGGUCUCUGGGCUGAAACUGACGCUCAUGCACGAAAGCGUGGGGAGCAAACAGG
rnacentral:rRNA from 1 species